rnacentral:rRNA from 1 species
CUUGACUCUAGUCUGGCACUGUGAGGAGACAUUAGAGGUGUAGCAUAAGUGGGAGAUCCGCUUGCGGGUCGACAGUGAAAUACCACUACUUUGAUCGUUUCCUCACUUACUUGGUGAGGACGAAAGCGUGUACGGUUCCCUGUGUUCCGUGCACGGUAUUCUCGAGCCAAGGCUGGGAGUCUCAGGAUUCCCGGCCGAUCGUAUCCAAGGACACUGCCAGGCCGGGAGUUUGACUGGGGCGGUACAUCUGUCAAAGAAUAACGCAGGUGUCCUAAGGCCAGCUCAGCGAGGACAGAAACCUCGCGUAGAGCAAAAGGGCAAAAGCUGGCUUGAUCCCGAUGUUCAGUAAGCAUAGGGACUGCGAAAGCACGGCCCAUCGAUCCUUUUGACUUGGAGAGUUUCCAGCAAGAGGUGUCAGAAAAGUUACCACAGGGA